rnacentral:rRNA from 1 species
AGUGAACGCUGGCGGUAGGCCUAACACAUGCAAGUCGAACGGCAGCACAGUAAGAGCUUGCUCUUACGGGUGGCGAGUGGCGGACGGGUGAGGAAUACAUCGGAAUCUACUUUUUCGUGGGGAUAAAGGAGGGAAACUUACGCUAAUACCGCAUACGAACUACGGGUGAAAGCAGGGGAUCUUCGGACCUUGCGCGAUUGAAUGAGCCGAUGUCGGAUUAGCUAGUUGGCGGGGUAAAGGCCCACCAAGGCGACGAUCCGUAGCUGGUCUGAGAGGAUGAUCAGCCACACUGGAACUGAGACACGGUCCAGACUCCUACGGGAGGCAGCAGUGGGGAAUAUUGGACAAUGGGCGCAAGCCUGAUCCAGCCAUACCGCGUGGGUGAAGAAGGCCUUCGGGUUGUAAAGCCCUUUUGUUGGGAAAGAAAAGCAGCAGGUUAAUACCCCGCUGUUCUGACGGUACCCAAAGAAUAAGCACCGGCUAACUUCGUG